rnacentral:rRNA from 1 species
GACGAACGCUGGCGGCGUGCCUAAUACAUGCAAGUCGAACGCAUUUUCUUUCACCGUAGCUUGCUACACCGAAAGAAAAUGAGUGGAGAACGGGUGAGUAACACGUGGGUAACCUGCCCAUCAGCGGGGGAUAACACUUGGAAACAGGUGCUAAUACCGCAUAAUUCCAUUUACUGCAUGGUAGAUGGAUGAAAGGCGCUUUUGCGUCACUGAUGGAUGGACCCGCGGUGCAUUAGCUAGUUGGUGGGGUAACGGCCUACCAAGGCUGCGAUGCAUAGCCGACCUGAGAGGGUGAUCGGCCACACUGGGACUGAGACACGGCCCAGACUCCUACGGGAGGCAGCAGUAGGGAAUCUUCGGCAAUGGACGCAAGUCUGAACGAGCAACGCCGCGUGAGUGAAGAAGGUUUUCGGAUCGUAAAACUCUGUUGUUAGAAAAGAACAAGGAUGAGAGUGGAAAGUUCAUCCCUUGACGGUAUCUAACCAGAAAGCCACGGCUAACUACGUG